AGUUGAGUGAAAGACGAGGACAAGGGAAGAAGGAUAAACGUGCGUGCGUGCAGGACUGUGUAGACUGAGUGAUCGGGAUGUUGUUAGUGCAGUGUGGUAUGAAUUAAGUGGUGAUUAUUUAAUGCUUGUUCUGACAGUCACCACCAGCACCAUCACUACCACCACCAUCCCUGCUACCACCACCAGGAGUGAAGGCGGUGGUGUCUGACGGUGGCAGAGGAGUCCAGGUUCACGUGGAGACUCUCAGAAGUAUAAGCCACUGGUACUGUCGCGAUCACAAGACGAGAAGCAUUAGACUCACCUCCACUGUGCUUCGUAUUUUCUUUCAGUCUAGUAACGUGUGGUAUUUUUUAUUUUUUUUAUUUAGUAGGCCUUUUUUUAAUUCACAAUAGGCUUUUUUUCUCAUUUCAGUUGACCUUUUUUAUUGGAUUUUUCUUGCCCUUGGCCGGUAUCCCUCCUGCAUAAAAAAUAAAUAAAUAAAUAAAUAAAUAAAUAAAAACGUAACCUGACAGUGGAUUGAUUCUAAGACUAAGGGACUUCAGACUGAAAGUUAAUACAGGGAAUGUCAUAUAUUAAUCGACUACUGAUCGUGACUGUACAAUGAGCUGAACACUUGGAGAGCUUUCAAUGUGACCGUUUAGAGAGCUCCACCAUGACGCCGCCAUCACCACCACCACCACCACCACCACAUCAAGAAAAAGAGAGGUGUGUGCAGGGUGUGAAUGACCUGCAGCCCUUCAGUCCUUGAAGCGGCAACGCGGUGACAGGUGUCGGUGGCAGUUCAGUGACCUCAGCAGCCGGAUACACGCGGAGGCAACACUUACGCAUCCACCAGCUACGUUCUCAUUAACUUUCCAUUGAUGUGUUCGUGUUUCCAUUACUUUUGUAUAGUUUUUUUUUUUGCGCAUCUUUCCCUCUCCUGCACUGGAUGUGAACUGUGUGACUCUCUUUUUGCAGCACUGGUUUGGAAAUGAAGGAUAUGGAAAGGUAUGACGUCUGUGGAUUUUUGGUCUUUACUCUCACUGCCUUGGUGGCUUUAAACUGCUUCAACUUCACCACUGCGGCAAGUCAGUCAAUGAAGGAGGAAGUGAGACGGUGUUUUGAUUUCAACGGCAAGAUUUCUUCCCAAAAUAACUCCCAGACGAUAGAUUCUGUUACGGCGGGGUAGAUAUUCGUAAACACCACAAUGUCUUAACCCUUCUGCAGUCCUUCAACAGGGCUCAGUGGAGGGUAUUGCGGUUUCUAGGGACUCUAGUAAUUUCAGCGAUAAUUUAAGAAGACUUAUGUACCAUUGAAGACAAAAGACAUGAGAUCCCUACUAAUAAUAUCCAUGGCUUUGAAAAUAUCCUAAUUCACCUUAUCAGCUCCAACAGAACUUAAAUGAUAAGGAUGACUUUGACAGAUUGACAAUGCUUCCCUACCUCACACAAAUAAGAAGAUUACAUACGGCACUACAGCACUUAGAUAAAUAAAUAAACAGACAUAUAAAGGGAUGGAAGGAUAAAUAAAUAGCUGGACGGAUAAGUAGAUAAAUGUAUAGAUAAGCAGACUGAUAGAUAAAUAAACAGAGAAACAGAGACGAUGCAAUCACUAACCUAACCCUCACGGAAUAAGACACUCGUGAGAACCCUGGCAAUCAUCUCCUUGGCCUUUGAGGAUAAGAGAUAAGAGAAUGAAGCCUUUAAGAAUACACCUAGUGGCAUCAGAGCAGCGCAGACCAACACGUGCAAUUCACAGGGCCCUUUAUUUACGUCUGGCCGCGACACCGCAUCAUGAUCCUGCCUUACCCCUCCUCCCCUUCCCGCCGCGACCUUAAAGGGACACAAAGCAGCGAUAGGAAAACAGUGAGGGAUGGACAGGCGGGUAAUCUGAUCAGCGUAAUGUGUUUUAUUUUUGUAUCUAUUGAUUAGGCAAAUUUUUUUUUUUUUUUGUAAUACCGAGCGCUUCCUGUGGGUGAUUAAGUUUGUUGAUCAGUGCAGGUUAAUGAAAAGAUGGAUAAAUGGAUGAAUGGAAUGGGCGGACGGACUGAUAGAUAAACAGGUGAAUUGCUUGAUGUGUAUUUUGUUAGACAGAUGAAUAAAUAGAUAGAUGGAUAGAUAGUUCGAUGGAAGAAUGGAUGGAUGGGUGAAUAAAUGGCAGGAUGGUUGGGUAGAUGAAUGUAUAGAUAAGUAGACGAACAGACAGAUAAAUGUAUAAAUAGAGGUGGGCAAGUAGAUAGACAGAUGAAUAGAUAGAUAGAUAGAUAGAUAGAUAG